UACAGAGGGGGCAAGCGUUGUUCGGAAUCACUGGGCGUAAAGGGUGCGUAGGCCGCACGGUAAGUCAGAGGUGAAAUCCCGGAGCUCAACUCCGGAAUGGCCUCCGAUACUGCCGUGCUCGAGGACUGGAGAGGAGUCUGGAAUUCACAGUGGAGCAGUGAAAUGCGUGGAUAUUGUGAGGAACACUAGUGGCGAAGGCGAGACUCUGGACAGUUCCUGACGCUGAGGCACGAAGGCCAGGGGAGCAAACGGG
rnacentral:rRNA from 1 species